rnacentral:rRNA from 1 species
GAUGAACGCUGGCGGCGUGCCUAAUACAUGCAAGUCGAGCGAACGGACGAGAAGCUUGCUUCUCUGAUGUUAGCGGCGGACGGGUGAGUAACACGUGGAUAACCUACCUAUAAGACUGGGAUAACUUCGGGAAACCGGAGCUAAUACCGGAUAAUAUUUUGAACCGCAUGGUUCAAAAGUGAAAGACGGUCUUGCUGUCACUUAUAGAUGGAUCCGCGCUGCAUUAGCUAGUUGGUAAGGUAACGGCUUACCAAGGCAACGAUGCAUAGCCGACCUGAGAGGGUGAUCGGCCACACUGGAACUGAGACACGGUCCAGACUCCUACGGGAGGCAGCAGUAGGGAACCUUCCGCAAUGGGCGAAAGCCUGACGGAGCAACGCCGCGUGAGUGAUGAAGGUCUUCGGAUCGUAAAACUCUGUUAUUAGGGAAGAACAUAUGUGUAAGUAACUGUGCACAUCUUGACGGUACCUAAUCAGAAAGCCACGGCUAACUACGUGCCAGCAGCCGCGGUAAUACGUAGGUGGCAAGCGUUAUCCGGAAUUAUUGGGCGUAAAGCGCGCGUAGGCGGUUUUUUAAGUCUGAUGUGAAAGCCCACGGCUCAACCGUGGAGGGUCAUUGGAAACUGGAAAACUUGAGUGCAGAAGAGGAAAGUGGAAUUCCAUGUGUAGCGGUGAAAUGCGCAGAGAUAUGGAGGAACACCAGUGGCGAAGGCGACUUUCUGGUCUGUAACUGACGCUGAUGUGCGAAAGCGUGGGGAUCAAACAGGAUUAGAUACCCUGGUAGUCCACGCCGUAAACGAUGAGUGCUAAGUGUUAGGGGGUUUCCGCCCCUUAGUGCUGCAGCUAACGCAUUAAGCACUCCGCCUGGGGAGUACGACCGCAAGGUUGAAACUCAAAGGAAUUGACGGGGACCCGCACAAGCGGUGGAGCAUGUGGUUUAAUUCGAAGCAACGCGAAGAACCUUACCAAAUCUUGACAUCCUUUGACAACUCUAGAGAUAGAGCUUUCCCCUUCGGGGGACAAAGUGACAGGUGGUGCAUGGUUGUCGUCAGCUCGUGUCGUGAGAUGUUGGGUUAAGUCCCGCAACGAGCGCAACCCUUAAGCUUAGUUGCCAUCAUUAAGUUGGGCACUCUAAGUUGACUGCCGGUGACAAACCGGAGGAAGGUGGGGAUGACGUCAAAUCAUCAUGCCCCUUAUGAUUUGGGCUACACACGUGCUACAAUGGACAAUACAAAGGGCAGCGAAACCGCGAGGUCAAGCAAAUCCCAUAAAGUUGUUCUCAGUUCGGAUUGUAGUCUGCAACUCGACUACAUGAAGCUGGAAUCGCUAGUAAUCGUAGAUCAGCAUGCUACGGUGAAUACGUUUCCGGGUCU